GAAAGGCUGCGGACCUGUCUGCGGCUGGGUGUGAAAAUGCCCCGUCAGCUUUUCAUACCUCAAUUAGG
rfam:Lactonifactor longoviformis DSM 17459 genome assembly, contig: EJ64DRAFT_scaffold00002.2